AGACCGCAGCAAAUAGGGUUCUCAAUAUUAAGACCCUUAAGCUUCUGUAUACUCUCUCGCCUUCCCUUAAGCAAAUAGGGUUCACAAACGAACAACAGUCAUUUUAUCUCUCUUCUUUCUUCCUCCUCUCACAGCCUCAAGCUCUUCUCGCGCCUCAAGGCAUCUGGAGAACAAUAAUCUAAAUGGAACAGUUCCUAAAAACCUUUUUCAAAAACCCGGGCUGCACUUUACGUUUACACCCGGCAAUCGCCUUUCACUUUCGUCUGGACAAAAAACAUGAUCCAUGGCCGUCCUCCAUCAACGACUAUAGGGUGUACGUAUUUGUGUAAUCAGUGAUUUGAUUAAUAUUUUUUGAUAACUUCAAAUACAGCUGGAAGCUGCAUGGAUACCCUUGUGUUCUAGUUUCAGAGCUAGUUGUCUGAAUUAGAGUAAAGGCUUCUGUGUUUGAAGUACUUGGUAUAAUUAAACAAGCUCCUCUAUGCAGCCGAGGGUCAGGCUGUCAUUUUGUUGUACAAAUUUUUUUCUGAUAUAGGGGUGUUUCUGAGUUCUGACUUUGUUUAGCUGUAUAUGGUCCCCUUUACCUUAAUGUAUAUGUCCUUUCUUUCUUUGUAAUCAUUUUAUCUUGGAUACUCGUUGACUGCUAUACAUGAUUUUCUAAAA